ensembl:lncRNA
UCACAAAGGACCUGUUAUGACCACAGUGGUAUAGAACCAUCCAGAGGAACACCUGACUCGUUCAGCUCAUGGUCACUAAGUAGAGAGCCUUUUGGCCCCCAAAGGAUUGGGCCAUUUUUCCCACUGCUGUGCCCGCAACCUUUCCCUCUCAACUACUUCAAGAAGGUCUCUGAGCCACAGUUCAUUGCAACUAUCAUGUAAAGCUGCUCUAGGGUCACAGCUCCAAGCCUCUUGCCCCCGGGCAAAAGCCCUUGCUUGCCGGCCUCCAGCUGACUGACCCCUUCCUAGAGAAAAGCCCAGCUCUCUAGAGAAU